GACCGGGAGAGGAUUUUAAGUACCUAGAUGGAAGCUUCUGGAGAUCCUGCUCCGUCGCCCCAGUGUUCAGACUACCUGUUCAGGACAAUGCCGUUGUACAGUAGUCUGCACAUUGGUUAGACUGGGCAAGGGAGAGCAGCGCCAUGGACAGCUGGAGACAGAGUUGCUGUUCCCAAGGAGAAGACAUUUGCUUGCUCCUUUUUCAAAUCUCACACCCAGUGUUUUUCUUCACAGGUUUUGCACACUAGGGACGAAGAAGCUCGCGCGGACACUGCUGAGACAGGACUGCUUCGGGGAAGAGAUGCGGGUAAGGCCUUCUCGCCCGCUCUCCUGGUCUGACCAGCAGAGCCCGGGUGGGGAGCCAGUGAUUUGCGUUCACAUGCGCGAGAAACAGAGGUAGAUGUGUGAUGGACAGCUGUGCAUUUAGUUUUAAAGGAGCGACAAUGGGUGGUAGAGAGUGACUUACCAAAUGGUAUUCGAUUUCUGAAGAUUUAUAAGUCAAGUAUUUUCUUAAGUUUAAAGGUUUUUCCCACUUCAAAAUGAAAGAUGAAAAGACUCCAAACACUUAAGAGUCAUUUAAUGAGGCUAGUUUUGAAUUGUUGAAAUUAAGGAUGCAGAGACCUAAAAACUUAUUUGAAUGAGGGCUGUAGUACAACUUCUAACAUCUCAAGAUUUAAUCCAUUUUGCCCCAAAGGAAAUAAUACUUGCCAUUUUUAAAAUGUUAUAUUGAUAGCGCUUUUCUGAAAAUUUACUUAUAUAAAUACCAGGAAUAAUAGUAUCUAACAAUAAAAGAAAAGGCUGCCAAGUUUUUGCCCACCAGACAAAGCAGACGGGACUUGCCCAGAAAAGAGCGCUAACCCAGAACUUACUGAGUCAGCAACUGAAUAAAUGGGAAAUGGAAAUGUCUAUCUUCACAUAUCCCAAUAUAUACCUCCGUGUUACAUUUUCUUUAACAAAAAUCCAAGAAUGGUUUAUAAGUGCUGGUCAGCUGAGCCCUCAUGCCUAUAUUUCACAAUGCUUCUAUUUCUCUGAGCCUUUAAAAUGAUAAGGUACUUUGUCUAGAAACCCACUGAUAAAAAAGGAAUUUGUAAACGAAGGCAAAGUUUUCUUUGGUCAGUUUCCAGCUGUCCUGGAGGUGAAGGAGGGUGGGAGAGGGGGAGGAAGGUGGGAGGGAGGAAAACCCUUGAGCUGAAUGAAAUCCCUAAAGAGAGAAUAAUAGAGAAAGUCUGGGUUGCAAUAUGAUCCAUGCUGAACUUUAGAGGAGGAUCCCUUAAAGAAAGUUCUGGAAAAAUCUUACUGCCUUACCCCUAAUUCCCUCAACCUCCAUUUAUAUCUACCCCCAAACAAUUCUAUAUAAUGAAAACAUCUGUUCUAUAGGCUUUUGUGGAAAACGAAUGUAAAUCUCCUUUGUCCUCCUUUAAAUUCUUUAAAGUUACAGUGGUUCCUGAACAAAUCCUUUUCUAAAUUAUAUAUUUUGCAACAAUUCAAACAUUGUCACAAAUUCUCCACUGUAAAACAUUUUAUUACAAAAGGUUCAAGUUGUCUUUUGUGAAAACAAAUUAUUUUAAAAAUUACCCUUUUUAUUAUCCCAAAGCUGGUAUAAAGAACAUACAAGUUUUCUCUUCUAUUCACGGUUUUUAGUUAAAAUAUAAAAAGCAAGGAGAAAUUUCGCGAUCUUCCCCACUUAGAUGAUAGAAGAAAGUCAUCCUUUUUUUUUUUUCUAUUGUGACUUGUAGGCUUCCAUAUUAAUUACUUUUAAUGGAACAAGUGAGAUUUUAAAAAUUUAGUUUCUUUUACAUAGGAAAACUGAAAAAAAAAACUAUUACAGGAGCUUAUUUUUUCAAGAAAUACAUUUUUACCAGUUGAUACACAGUUACUAAAAAAGAAAGAUAGCUGUAAGGUAUUUUGGCAAUGUUUAAGGUUGCUCAAAUUUUGGCUUUUGUUUUUUAACUCUGUAGAAAUGAUUAAAUUUCAUAACUUGCUUUCAUUUCAUGUAUAUUUAAUUUGAAUGUCUUUCUUCAUAUUAAAUGGCCUUUUUGUUUCAAAGAAGCUAACCACCACCGGUCCCUCACCUAUUUUCUCCCUCAGGAUGACUUUUAAUCUGGAGACAGAGGGAACCCAAGGGUGUCCCUGGUGUAAGUAAAGGAGCAGAAACCUAAGAAUUAAUUUGCAAAGGGGUAGCUGAGGAGCCGCUGCACGUGCUCGAUGGACGACAACCUAUUUUUGAUGCAAACUUUUAACAAAUGAAAAGGAAUAGUACUUAUUUUGAAACUGCAUGAGCUAAAUGAAAGAUCAAAAGUAAAAGCUCGUUUUAUAACCCUCUGCUGACUGCAGGCACGAUGGUAGUUUAUGAGCUGGUACAUAUACCAACCUGGAUACACACAUCUCGUCAAGUAACCUGCUCUAUUGCCAGGGUAAUUAGAAUAAUGUUUCAUUUUAUUUUGAUAUUACUUUAUAAGGAGAUAUACAAAUAUUUUAGGGAUCAUGGGAUCUAUUCCAGACGAAACUAAUCAACAAUGAACAUCUUCAACUAAAACUACCCCUGGAUAUUGUGGGAAGUGUUGCAUGCAUCAUUCCUUUAACUGAGCAGAGUUAACUGGAUCAAAUUAUUUAUGGGAGAGAGAGGGAAAGCUAUACAGAAUUACAGUAAUUUUUAAUUUCCAUCAAUAUACUCUUUGUAAGUGAAUCACUCUAUAAAUAUUUUCUGUUGCACAGAAUUCAGCAACAAUAACAAAAUAGUUUCUUAAGGUAUUUGUUUUGCAUACUCUGACCUUGUAAUUAUUUAAAUAGCGGCCAAGUUUACUGAUGUUUUUGAUUCUGUCAAGGAAAAAAAAAGUCCUCUUCUCAGAACUGAUGACCAGAAAUAGAAUCAGACAUUGCUUUUCUUGAAAUUAAAUAAAUAAAUGGAAAAUUGCACUUAUCAACUCUUUGUUAAAACUGUACCAUAUCUAAUCACUGCAUAAAAGUUCAGAUGCGUAGAAAACUGUCAUUUUUUUCCCAGUCUCUAAAAACUGCUUUGCUCUCCAUAAAGUUUCUAUUUGCUAUCUUCUCAGAACUUUACAAUUAAAGGGAAAUAACAGACUGUUUGUUUUCUUUAAAAAUCUUAAAAAAUUCCUAAGUACACACUCUUGGAACAAUAAUGUUUUGUUUUGUUUUUUAAGAAAUCCCACUUACUGGAAUUUUAACUAUCUGGAUAUUUUGUUUUUUAAAGGACAGGGGAAUUUGUUAAAUACCUCUACGGAUGUGAAUUGAUCAUUUUUAUGAAAAUAGCCAGAAGAAUUAUUCUCGACUCAUCUGCAUUAAAUUUUCUAUCUGUAUACUUAACACCAUUAACCCUUUCUUAUAUGAAUUAUAAAAGAAUUUUCCAGAGGGUCUGGUUUUACUUUUUGGAUUUGAAAUGGAGUUUCACUUUCUGUGUUUGAAGUUCUCUUUUGCAACUGUAUUGCACUAACAAUGUCCAAAGCACGCUUUGAGCAUCGCCGUGGCUAAUGACAUUUCAGUGUAUACCCUUUACAUUCAUGGCCCGGCUCUGUAGUUAAUUAAGAGGAGAACUUAAGAUCACAACUGCUUUUUAAUUGGUUUUCACAUCCAUACUUAAAAACCUUGCAUUAAAAAGAAUAUGGGAAAUUUAAAUUCCUGUUGCUUAAUAAAGUAUUGGUAAAAAUACAUCCCCUUGUAAAAUCCCACUAUCAAAGCAUCCGAUACCAAAGUCAGCCAGUUGAAUUGCCAAAUACAUUAGGCUCAUUAGUUAUUUUGAAAAUGGCUGCCGUUUCCAUGUAAAUGACAAGUUUCUUUUUCAUGGGCAAGGUUAUGGUACUUAUCUACUACAAGAAACAUGUAUAAACAUAGUCUUUAUCUUUAACUUCAGUUUUAAAAUAUGCAGAGUUUCAUGAAGAGGAAAAACAUCUGGUUCAAUUACCCUGAACUCUGACUGCAUGUGGGCCAGUAAUAAUAUGAACUGGAUUUAAGAAUAAACCUUGUGUUUAAUCUUUCUUUGUUUUUUCCUUAAAAUUUCAAUGUGAGUUUUCUGUUACGUCAAUUACCCCUGUUAGCACAUUUGGAACAAAUGUAUAAGUGUACUUUCUGAAUAAAGUCAAAAGCCUACCUUGUUUUUAGUUCCAUAAUGUUUUAAUGUUUAAUUCUAUUGUGUGUUUUUCUCCCUUUCCCCUGACCCUCCAAAAUCACCAAAUCUGGAAAACAGACUGAUUGUAUCUGCCCAUGAGCAAAGGAAACCCGAAGGAACCAAGGGCCUGGCUGGACGGAGUUGUCAUGUGUCUGCCUGUCUACACUUGCUGUGCAGAACAUCCGCUCACCUGUACAGCAGGCACAGACAGGCAGUCACAUGACAACCCAGCCUGAAUGACAACCAGCCAUUGAGAGAAAGCAGCCCUCACACCAUAGCAUCUACACCAAGAGCAACAACCAAAAUGAGGGGCGCGGGGGCCUGGGGUUUUAAUCUGUUGGUUUAAUACUUAACUCGUAUGUAUUAUUAUUAUUAUUAUUAUUAUUUUAUUUUGAUUCAAAUAUUGAAACCCACCAAAAUUAAAGUGAGUGGUGCCUAUGAAAUAUAAUAAAACCCAUUUCUGAAAAUG